AGGACGAACGCUGGCGGCGUGCUUAACACAUGCAAGUCGAACGGAAAGGCCCUUCGGGGUACUCGAGUGGCGAACGGGUGAGUAACACGUGGGUGAUCUGCCCUGCACUUUGGGAUAAGCCUGGGAAACUGGGUCUAAUACCGAAUAUGACUAUGCGCUUCCUGGUGUGUAGUGGAAAGCUUUUGCGGUGUGGGAUGGGCCCGCGGCCUAUCAGCUUGUUGGUGGGGUAAUGGCCUACCAAGGCGACGACGGGUAGCCGGCCUGAGAGGGUGACCGGCCACACUGGGACUGAGAUACGGCCCAGACUCCUACGGGAGGCAGCAGUGGGGAAUAUUGCACAAUGGGCGCAAGCCUGAUGCAGCGACGCCGCGUGAGGGAUGACGGCCUUCGGGUUGUAAACCUCUUUCAAUAGGGACGAAGCGCAAGUGACGGUACCUAUAGAAGAAGGACCGGCCAACUACGUGCCAGCAGCCGC
rnacentral:rRNA from 1 species